rnacentral:lncRNA from 1 species
CUGCGGUUCUCGGGUAUGGCUGAAAUAAGGCAAGAAAACGACUCGGAAAGCAGCGAUGUGGACAUUUUAGAAGUUUCCCUUUACAAUUUAAGUAUCGAGGGUAAGUUGCAUUGAAUGAGUUUUAUACAAUAUUUAUGUCGCAUUUGCCGGUAUUAACGGCAUGUUUUACAUAUCUGUAUAGCGACAGAAUACGUCAUAGUAUCAUAGAUUUGUUAUUGUUUUUAUCUCUCCCAAAAUCAACAAAUAAAGUUUAAAAUAUCAUAUAUGGUACAUUGCCAGUAAGAAUUAUAUAAAAGCAGCAAGGAUUCACAAAGGAUGGCUUAAAUAUACGACGGAUUGAUACAAAAGACGUUUGGUUGUAGUCGGCCCAUAAAAUGGCCGCCUGUAUUGUGGUGUGACACUUAUCCUUUAAUAUUUAGAUUGAAGAUUCUAAGCAGUGUAUCCUAUAUUAAAUACUUUAUAUCUAGAUGAAGAAGAUGGAUGUUAUCCAAUGGCAAGUACGCCCCAAAAGGAUGACAAGAAAUAAAUUAGUGUGCUCUGAAGUGUCCAAACGCCAAAGUGAACCUGGUCGAAAAAGGCUUCACAUAUCAACAGUUGACACAGGUUUGUUCUUAGUUUAUAAUACUGAGUAGUCUCUCUCAAUCUACAUAUUUUCGUAGUGAUAUAUCUAAUCUAGAAAUAGUCUUAGAUUAAAUUAAAUUUUGGAAUUCAAGGCAGCAUCUAGCACUAUAGUUCAAAGUACUAAUAAGUUCAUGAAGUUUCUCUUUCACACAACAGUAUGACCAGAAUUGGAGAAUAUAUAAUUAUAAAAUUAUGUUUAAUCAAUGUUGUAUCAGUACACUGUUGGCCAGUAAGCUAGGUUCGGUAUGCUUGGCUGCUCGCCCAGCACCCCCCCCCCCCCUAGAGAAAUCUUGCCGGAUCCACCACUGAACCUUUUAAGAAAUGAAUGUAUUUGAAGUAUUUGGAUUAUUCAAUGUUAAUGCAAUCUCAAAAGAAUCAAUUGUGAUUGGCUAAGAACUACAGACAAUCCUCAAUGUUUAUCCACCUAAAACAACAUUGAAAAUUGCCUGUUGGUGACAUGAUUUUUUAAUGAGACACCUGACAAGGUUUUCUUUCCUGCCAUUAUAACAUCAUCAUAAUUGCAUAUUAAAACAAUUAUUGAAUUUGGGUUUCGCAUGACAUCAAGACCGGUCAAUGUUAUCUGCCGAAGCCAAAGGUUGAGGUCUGGAUAAUUCUUGAUAUCAUGCUCAUCCUCGUCCAAUAUGUAAUUGUUGAAUGUUUUUACAAUUGUAUCCCAUUUUUGUUUCUGCAUCUUGCUCUCUCUAUUUUACAAAUAGAGCCUGACACAAACCUUGCUAUCCACUCAAGUAUAUUUUUGUAUAAAGUAUCAAAUCAAAAUAUGUCCAGGGAGAAAUGUCAAUUUCAUAUAAAAACAACAAUCUAAUUAAAGUUACAACUUGCUAAAUAUAUAAUAGUAGUAUCAUAUAAUUAGGAUUAACCAAUAUUAACAUAGUAUUAUAUAACUAGGAUUAUCCGAUCACAAAGAUACAUUAAAUAUAGUCUGAUAUACUUGUGCUAGAAAUAGCCAGUCAGAGCUACAUUCAAUAUUUUGCACCUAUAUAAUAUGUCAGUUUGGAUAACUCCUGUUUUUUAAUUUCUGUAGAUAUACCUAAUUAAUCAACUCAAACAGAUGCCUUUGUUUUGGCAGCCAGUUGGGACCACAACAAUGAAC